GGCCUCUGUAGUGUAGCGGUAGCACGCGCCCUUGGUAUGGCUGAAGCACGGGUUCAACUCCCUCUAAGAUCA